UGUUUGUCUGAAGGGAGUAAGUUAUCUUAACUGAUUGAUCACAGUCAGUUACAGAUUGAACUCCUUGUUCUACUCUUUCACCCCUUAUCACUACUGCACUUGACUAGUCAUAU
rnacentral:Y_RNA from 1 species